UCCGUAGGUGGAUAAUUAAGUCAGAGGUGAAAUCCUGCAGCUCAACUGUAGAAUUGCCUUUGAUACUGGUUAUCUUGAGUUAUUAUGAAGUAGUUAGAAUAUGUAGUGUAGCGGUGAAAUGCAUAGAUAUUACAUAGAAUACCAAUUGCGAAGGCAGAUUACUAAUAAUCAACUGACACUGAUGGACGAAAGCGUGGGGAGCGAACAGGAUUAGAACCCUGGUAGUCC
rnacentral:rRNA from 1 species